GCCGACGUAGCUCAGGCGGUAGAGCAACUGAUUCGUAAUCAGUAGGUCGGGAGUUCGACUCUCCCCGUCGGCUCCA
rnacentral:tRNA from 2 species